rnacentral:rRNA from 1 species
AGCGUUAAUCGGAUUUACUGGGCGUAAAGCGCGCGUAGGUGGCCAAUUAAGUCAAAUGUGAAAUCCCCGAGCUUAACUUGGGAAUUGCAUUCGAUACUGGUUGGCUAGAGUAUGGGAGAGGAUGGUAGAAUUCCAGGUGUAGCGGUGAAAUGCGUAGAGAUCUGGAGGAAUACCGAUGGCGAAGGCAGCCAUCUGGCCUAAUACUGACACUGAGGUGCGAAAGCAUGGGGAGCAAACAGGAUUAGAUACCCUGGUAGUCCAUGCCGUAAACGAUGUCUACUAGCCGUUGGGGCCUUUGAGGCUUUAGUGGCGCAGCUAACGCGAUAAGUAGACCGCCUGGGGAGUACGGUCGCAAGACUAAAACUCAAAG